rnacentral:rRNA from 1 species
GCAAUGCCGCGUGUGUGAAGAAGGCCUUCGGGUUGUAAAGCACUUUUGUCCGGAAAGAAAUCCUUGGCUCUAAUACAGUCGGGGGAUGACGGUACCGGAAGAAUAAGCACCGGCUAACUACGUGCCAGCAGCCGCGGUAAUACGUAGGGUGCGAGCGUUAAUCGGAAUUACUGGGCGUAAAGCGUGCGCAGGCGGUUUGCUAAGACCGAUGUGAAAUCCCCGGGCUCAACCUGGGAACUGCAUUGGUGACUGGCAGGCUAGAGUAUGGCAGAGGGGGGUAGAAUUCCACGUGUAGCAGUGAAAUGCGUAGAGAUGUGGAGGAAUACCGAUGGCGAAGGCAGCCCCCUGGGCCAAUACUGACGCUCAUGCACGAAAGCGUGGGGAGCAAACAGGAUUAGAUACCCUGGUAGUCCACGCCCUAAACGAUGUCAACUAGUUGUUGGGGAUUCAUUUCCUUAGUAACGUAGCUAACGCGUGAAGUUGACCGCCUGGGGAGUACGGUCGCAAGAUUAAAACUCAAAGGAAUUGACGGGGACCCGCACAAGCGGUGGAUGAUGUGGAUUAAUUCGAUGCAACGCGAAAAACCUUACCUACCCUUGACAUGGUCGGAAUCCUGCUGA